AUUGAACGCUGGCGGAAUGCUUUACACAUGCAAGUCGAACGGCAGCACGGACUUCGGUCUGGUGGCGAGUGGCGAACGGGUGAGUAAUAUAUCGGAACGUGCCCAGUCGUGGGGGAUAACGUAGCGAAAGCUACGCUAAUACCGCAUACGAUCUACGGAUGAAAGCGGGGGAUCGCAAGACCUCGCGCGAGUGGAGCGGCCGAUAUCAGAUGAGGUCGUGGGCGAGGGAAAGGCUCACCAAGCCGACGAUCUGUAGCUGGUCUGAGAGAACGACCCGCCACACUGGGACUGAGACACGGCCCAGACUCCUACGGGAGGCAUCAGUGGGGAAUUUUGGACAAUGGACGCAAGUCUGAUCCAGCCAUUCCGCGUGCAGGACGAAGGCCUUCGGGUUGUAAACUGCUUUUGUACAGAACGAAAAGGUCUCUAUUAAUACUAGGGGCUCACGACGGUACCUGAAGAAUAAGCACCGGCUAACUACGUGCCAGCAGCCGCCGUAA
rnacentral:rRNA from 1 species